GACGAACGCUGGCGGCGUGCUUAACACAUGCAAGUCGAACGGAAAGGCCCUGCUUGCAGGGUACUCGAGUGGCGAACGGGUGAGUAACACGUGGGUGAUCUGCCCUGCACUUCGGGAUAAGCCUGGGAAACUGGGUCUAAUACCGGAUAUGACCUUCCAUGUAGUGUGGGGGGUGGAAAGAUUUAUCGGUGUGGGAUGAGCCCGCGGCCUAUCAGCUUGUUGGUGGGGUAAUGGCCUACCAAGGCGUCGACGGGUAGCCGGCCUGAGAGGGUGGACGGCCACAUUGGGACUGAGAUACGGCCCAGACUCCUACGGGAGGCAGCAGUGGGGAAUAUUGCACAAUGGGCGGAAGCCUGAUGCAGCGACGCCGCGUGGGGGGUGACGGCCUUCGGGUUGUAAACCUCUUUCGACAGGGACGAAGCUUCGGUGACGGUACCUGUAUAAGAAGCACCGGCUAACUACGUG
rnacentral:rRNA from 1 species